CAACACCGGUUCCUGUAAGAACAACGAAGUUAAGCAAUACUGCGCCAUGUCAGUAUUACGUUGGGUGAAGGUUUGGGAAUACAAGGUACCGUAA